UACGUAGGGUCCGAGCGUUGUCCGGAAUUACUGGGCGUAAAGAGCUCGUAGGUGGUUUGUCGCGUUGUUCGUGAAAACUCACAGCUCAACUGUGGGCGUGCGGGCGAUACGGGCAGACUGGAGUACUGCAGGGGAGACUGGAAUUCCUGGUGUAGCGGUGGAAUGCGCAGAUAUCAGGAGGAACACCGGUGGCGAAGGCGGGUCUCUGGGCAGUAACUGACGCUGAGGAGCGAAAGCGUGGGGAGCAAACAGG
rnacentral:rRNA from 1 species